rnacentral:rRNA from 2 species
CUCGUUGAUGAUCGGUGCUUGCACCGAGAUUCAACAUGGAACGAGUGGCGGACGGGUGAGUAACACGUGGGUAACCUGCCCUUAAGUGGGGGAUAACAUUUGGAAACAGAUGCUAAUACCGCAUAGAUCCAAGAACCGCAUGGUUCUUGGCUGAAAGAUGGCGUAAGCUAUCGCUUUUGGAUGGACCCGCGGCGUAUUAGCUAGUUGGUGAGGUAAUGGCUCACCAAGGCGAUGAUACGUAGCCGAACUGAGAGGUUGAUCGGCCACAUUGGGACUGAGACACGGCCCAAACUCCUACGGGAGGCAGCAGUAGGGAAUCUUCCACAAUGGACGCAAGUCUGAUGGAGCAACGCCGCGUGAGUGAAGAAGGCUUUCGGGUCGUAAAACUCUGUUGUUGGAGAAGAAUGGUCGGCAGAGUAACUGUUGUCGGCGUGACGGUAUCCAACCAGAAAGCCACGGCUAACUACGUG